rnacentral:rRNA from 1 species
ACGGGUGAGUAACACGUGGAUAACCUACCUAUAAGAUUGGGAUAACUUCGGGAAACCGGAGCUAAUACCGGAUAAUAUAUUGAACCGCAUGGUUCAAUAGUGAAAGACGGUUUUGCUGUCACUUAUAGAUGGAUCCGCGCCGCAUUAGCUAGUUGGUAAGGUAACGGCUUACCAAGGCAACGAUGCGUAGCCGACCUGAGAGGGUGAUCGGCCACACUGGAACUGAGACACGGUCCAGACUCCUACGGGAGGCAGCAGUAGGGAAUCUUCCGCAAUGGGCGAAAGCCUGACGGAGCAACGCCGCGUGAGUGAUGAAGGUCUUCGGAUCGUAAAACUCUGUUAUUAGGGAAGAACAAAUGUGUAAGUAACUAUGCACGUCUUGACGGUACCUAAUCAGAAAGCCACGGCUAACUACGUGCCAGCAGCCGCGGUAAUACGUAGGUGGCAAGCGUUAUCCGGAAUUAUUGGGCGUAAAGCGCGCGUAGGCGGUUUUUUAAGUCUGAUGUGAAAGCCCACGGCUCAACCGUGGAGGGUCAUUGGAAACUGGGAAACUUGAGUGCAGAAGAGGAAAGUGGAAUU